AACGAACGCUGGCGGCAGGCUUAACACAUGCAAGUCGAACGCACCGCAAGGUGAGUGGCAGACGGGUGAGUAACACGUGGGGCUCUGCCCAAUGGUACGGAAUAGCUCCGGGAAACUGGAAUUAAUACCGUAUGAGCCAGCAAGGGGAAAGAUUUAUCGCCCUUGGAUGAACCCGCGUCGGAUUAGCUAGUUGGUGUGGUAGGGCGCACCAAGGCGACGCGCCGUAGCUGGUCUGAGAGGAUGAUCAGCCACACUGGGACUGAGACACGGCCCAGACUCCUACGGGAGGCAGCAGUGGGGAAUAUUGGACAAUGGGCGCAAGCUUGAUCCAGCCAUGCUGCGUGAGUGAUGAAGGCCUUAGGGUUGUAAAGCUCUUUCGCCGACGAAGAUAAUGACGGUAGUCGGAGAAGAAGCCCCGGCUAACUUCGUGCCAGCCGCCGCCGUAACAC
rnacentral:rRNA from 1 species